rnacentral:piRNA from 1 species
UGCAAGCAGCUUUCUGAGUUGUCCAGUUG